rnacentral:rRNA from 1 species
UACACUCCUACGGGAGGCAGCAGUGGGGAAUUUUGGACAAUGGGCGAAAGCCUGAUCCAGCCAUGCCGCGUGCAGGAUGAAGGCCUUCGGGUUGUAAACUGCUUUUGUACGGAACGAAACGGCCUUUUCUAAUAAAGAGGGCUAAUGACGGUACCGUAAGAAUAAGCACCGGCUAACUACGUGCCAGCAGCCGCGGUAAUACGUAGGGUGCAAGCGUUAAUCGGAAUUACUGGGCGUAAAGCGUGCGCAGGCGGUUAUGUAAGACAGUUGUGAAAUCCCCGGGCUCAACCUGGGAACUGCAUCUGUGACUGCAUAGCUAGAGUACGGUAGAGGGGGAUGGAAUUCCGCGUGUAGCAGUGAAAUGCGUAGAUAUGCGGAGGAACACCGAUGGCGAAGGCAAUCCCCUGGACCUGUACUGACGCUCAUGCACGAAAGCGUGGGGAGCAAACAGGAUUAGAAACCCGGGUAGUCCC